rnacentral:rRNA from 1 species
AUGGCAGAAUUCAGUGAAUUCAUCGAAUCUUUGAACGCAUCUUGCGCUCCUUGGUAUUCCGAGGAGCAUGCCUGUUUGAGUGUCAUU